rnacentral:rRNA from 1 species
GAGUUUGAUCAUGGCUCAGAUUGAACGCUGGCGGCAUGCCUUACACAUGCAAGUCGAACGGCAGCAUGGUCUAGCUUGCUAGAUUGAUGGCGAGUGGCGAACGGGUGAGUAAUACAUCGGAACGUGCCCUGUAGUGGGGGAUAACUAGUCGAAAGAUUAGCUAAUACCGCAUACGACCUGAGGGUGAAAGUGGGGGACCGCAAGGCCUCAUGCUAUAGGAGCGGCCGAUGUCUGAUUAGCUAGUUGGUGGGGUAAAGGCCCACCAAGGCGACGAUCAGUAGCUGGUCUGAGAGGACGAUCAGCCACACUGGGACUGAGACACGGCCCAGACUCCUACGGGAGGCAGCAGUGGGGAAUUUGGACAAUGGGCGAAAGCCUGAUCCAGCAAUGCCGCGUGUGUGGAGAAGGCC